UAUCAUAUAUAUAUAUAUAUUCAAUCAAUCUAUAAAUGAAUAUUCACUGAAAAUUCUGAUAUAAUGAGUUGACCAAAUCCGGGGAUGAUACAAGUCUUGACCACUGCUAUACGUGGGUAUGUAAAAGGAUUAGAGGGGUUUUUAUCAGAUACAAUAGCAUCAUCACGUUUGUGUAAAAGAAUUAUCAGCACAUGUUUCAAAUUUAUAUCUGACAAAAGUCAGGUUUCUGCUGUCAAAAGGGAUUCACAUUUAUAUUGCAAUAAAUUAAUCAAAAGGAGGUAAAAUCAGGUUGCAUAAGCAAUGUACAAUACCACCCCCUGUACUGACACAUCGAUACGGAAAGUACAAGAUCCACCCAGAGUUAUUUGUUCUAUUUUCAAAACUUGUACAAAAUCAGUUCAAAUUCUGGGAAUCCCGG
rnacentral:lncRNA from 1 species